rnacentral:rRNA from 1 species
ACGGAGGAUCCAAGCGUUAUCCGGAAUCAUUGGGUUUAAAGGGUCCGUAGGCGGUCUUAUAAGUCAGUGGUGAAAUCCGGUAGCUCAACUAUCGAACGGCCAUUGAUACUGUAGAACUUGAAUUAUUGUGAAGUAACUAGAAUAUGUAGUGUAGCGGUGAAAUGCUUAGAUAUUACAUGGAAUACCAAUUGCGAAGGCAGGUUACUAACAAUAUAUUGACGCUGAUGGACGAAAGCGUGGGGAGCGAACAGGA